rnacentral:lncRNA from 1 species
CCUACUUCCAAGUUCAGAUUUCGAAUGAAGGAAGUAUAGAGAAAUUUUCACAGCCAAAGUUGCCCCCUUUGAUUUUCGUACUCGAUUGUUUCCAGAUAUUUUGGCGUUUGGUGUGUCGGUGCUGGAGUUUUUUCAAAUCGAGGUGAUCUGAAAAGAUUUUUUCAGAAUCUCUGCUGGAGCGUUGCCCCAGGUAUGGCACAAUAAUGAUUCUGUCAGUCGUCAGCCAUCUGUCACGACGAGUGGGACACGCGACGGUUGUAGGUCGGCCGAAGG